UUAAUAUAAGGUAAUUUGGUGUGCUCUAAGUAACCCACAAUUCCUCUGGUGAAGAUUUGUGGGUUACUUAGAGCACAGCAAAUUACCUUAUAUUAAACUCAGC
rnacentral:miRNA from 1 species